CCGCCUUAUACCAGUAGCAUAAGUUAUAAUUUGUCUUCUGGUGAGGUUAGGUUGGCCCUUUGUUAUAGCAGGGCAAAGAUCUCGUAGUUCUAUCAUCUCUUUCGCACGGCUCAUUCACUUCCGCUUGAACUUCGUAACAAAAAAGGCCGCCGCCACUGCGCUCCACAGAAAUCUGUUUCUUCAAGAGCUCUCUCUCGUGAUGUUCCUCUUCCAUCUCGGCCAUGCGAGCGAAUCGAGAGUACGCGACGUGACCGGACUUGAUCGCGGACAUCAUCUGCCACAAAACCAAAAUCCCGUCAUGAGAUUCACAGCGUAACACCUGAAUUAAAUGUAACAGCACGUAGGAUCUGAGGUUUUCACGGCGGUGAGUCUGAAGAUUACCGUCUUCUGUGUCAUUGCGCCGCGUGGUCCGGUAGAUGUUUACCUACGUUUCAGAGGUCCUAGCAGCCUCCAUCAUCAGGAUGGCAUGGCGCAACAACCCAGAAGACGGUAAUCUUCAAAUGUAACAGCAUCCGCUGGAAUAUUCUUUUUAAUUAAAAAAGGCACCGCAUUCGCGAAUGUCGGUUCUGUUCUUGGGUAACAGCAUCGCGGAGAUGUAAGUUUUAUAUCAUCACUUUUAUUUCUCGGCUGUCAACAAAGCAGCCCGCAUCUCCACGGCUGCAUCACCCAGAAACAGGAUCGACUUUAGCGCUCAACAGCCGUGAAAGAUUAAAAUGUUUUCUGAUACUGUA